AGCAUGUUCAUAUAAUUGGUCUGCAUAUAGUCUAAAAUAUUUUCUAGAUUUUUGCCUACGACUAGUGGUCGAGAAAGAGAGAGAGAGAAAAUGAGCUCAGAUGUGGUACCAUAUAAAGAUAAUUUAAAAUUGCUAUAAUGUGAACAGACAAUGAAGAGAAUGCAGCCCAAAGGGUGAGAAAAACAUAGAGGUAUCAAUUAUGUCACUAAAGGUGAAGUUGGAAAAGAGAUGAACCACGGGUUCUCAUGAGCCAGUAGGAGCUGGCUCCAACACACUACCUAUAGAUAGGCUUGGAAUAAAGCAAGUAGCUGAAAUAUGCUCUUUCUCCUGGGACUUGAAGUGAACUCAUCCUUAUGUAAUGCUGGUUUUGCCAUACUCAUUUCAAGUAUUACAGAGGUAUCUCAUGGUGAAAACCUAUGAAGUAACUUGUGGUAUAAUUAAGUGAAGAUGGAGUCUCACUCUGUCGCCCAGGCUAGAGUUCAGUGGUGUGAUCUUGGCUCACUGCAACCUUCACCUCCCAGUAUCAAGCAAUUCUUCUGCAUCAGUUUUCUGAGAAGCUGAGACAACAGGAAGAGACAGCAUUGCUACAAAAGGAUCAUGUGAUUUGUGUCAAUUGGAAAGAUGCCACAGUUGGUAAAUGUAAUUCCAUACUCAAGAGAAUAAAAUGAUCACUAUUGUCUAUGCAGAUACUUUCUUCUUUCCCCUUUAUGCUCUCAUUGAUUACAAUACUUUAUUAUUUCCCGUAUUCUUUUUAAAAAUUUUUUCUGGACCCAUCUGCACCUCUUUUUCUAGGCCAGCAGCUCACAUAUUCUUCUUUUCUUUAUUCUUCAUACUAGUACCAACCAGCUGUCACAAAAUAAUUAUACCCUGGAUCAGGAGCCAUUUCUAAAGUCUUUACUAGCUACACAGAAUUCCAAACUAAUAAUGUAUCACUGGUUAUAUUCACUGAAAGCCUAAUACCUUACCAAGUUAUGGAAGAUGUUCCUAUCAAGAGAAAACAGUAUUUUAGCAUAUGCAUGCACAAAUUCUAUAAUAUAACUGUGUAAGUAAAUAAUCUGCUGGUGGAAGAGUUUCUAGUCAGGAAGUAAUGAAAAUGUCAGAAGAGCCCUAGUGCUCUAAGUAUUAUUUAGUAAGUAACAUCUAAAUGGAAAGAAACAUUGGUGACUUUAGAGUGUCUGCUAAUUCCAAGUAAUAGGUAAUGCAUAAAAAAACCACAUAACCUAAUGAUAGUUUCUUGUGCUGUGCAGAAGCUCUUAAAUUUAGUUAAAUCCCAUUUGUCCAUUUUGGCUUUUAUUGUCAUUGCUUUUGGUGUUUUAGUCGUGAAGUCCUUGCCCAUGCCUAUGUCCUGAAUGGUAUUGCCUAGGUUUUCUUCUAGGGUUUUUAUGGUGUUAGAUCUUAUGUUUAAAUCUUUAAUCCAUUUGGAGUUAAUUUUCAUAUAAGGAGUAAGGAAAGAUCCAGUUUCAGCUUUCUGCAUAUGGCUAGCCAGUUUUCUCAACACCAUUUAUUAAAUAGUGAAUCCUUUCCCCAUGGCUUAUUUUUGUCAGGUUUGUCAAAGAUCAGAUGGUUGUAGAUAUGUGGUGUAUUUCUGAGGCCUCUGUUCUGUUCCAUUGGUCUAUAUCUCUGUUUUGGUACCAGUACCAUGCUGUUUUGAUUACUGUAGCCUUUGAGUAUAGUGUGAAGUCAGGUCGCAUGAUGCCUCCAGCUUUGUGUGUUUUUUGUUUGUUUGUUUGUUUGUUUUUUGCUUCAGAUUGUCUUGGCUAUGCAGGCUCUUUAUUGGCUCCAUAUGAAGUUUAAAGUUUUUUUUUUUUUUUUUAAUUUUGUGACGGAAGUCAAUGGUAGCUUGAUGGGGAUAGCAUUGAAUCUGUAAAUUGCUUUGGGCAGUAUGGCCAUGUUCAUGAUAUUGAUUCUUCCUAACCAUGAGUAUGGAAUGUUUUUUCAUUUGUUUGUAUCCUUUCUUAUUUCCUUGAGCAGUAGCUUGUAGUUUGUCUUGAAGAGGUCCAUCAGGUCUCUUGUUAGUUGUAUUCCUAGGUAUUUUAUUCUCUUUGUAGCAAUUGUGAAUGGGAGUUCACUCACGAUUUAGCUCUCUGUUUGUCUGUUGUUAAUGUUUGUGAAUGCUUGUGAUAUGUGCACAUUGAUUUUGUAUGCUGAGACUUUGCUGAAGUUGCUUAUCAGUUUGAGGAAAUUUUGGGUUGAGACGAUGGGGGCUUCUAAAAAUACAAUCAUGUCAUCUGCAAAUAGAGACAAUUUGACUUCCUCUUUUCCUAACUGAAUACGUUUAUUUCUUUUUCUUGCCUGAUUUCCCUGGCCAGAACUUCCAAUACUAUGUUAAAUAGGAGUGGUGAGAGAGGACAUCCUUGUUUUGUGUCAUUUUUCAAAGGGAAUGUUCCAGUUUUUGCCCAAUCUGUAUGAUAUUGAGUAUUGGUUAGUGAUAAAUAGCUCUUAUUUUGAGAUACAUUCCAUUGAUACUUAGUUUAUUGAAAGUUUUAGCAUAAAGGGCUGUUGAAUUUUGUUGAAGGCCUUCUCUGCAUCUAUUGAGAUAAUCAUGUGGUUUUGUCUUUAGUUCUGUUUAUUUGGUGGAUUACAUUUAUAAAUUUGAGUAUAUUGAACCAGCCUUCAAUCCCAGGGAUGAAGCCAACUUGAUUGUGAUAGAAAAGCUUUUUGAUGUACUGUUGGAUUCAGUUUGCCAAUAUUUUAUUGAGGAUUUUCAAAUCAAUGUUCGUAAUGGAUAUUGGCCUGAAAUUUUCUAAGUUGUGUCUCUGCCAGGUUUUGGUAUCACGAUGAUGUUGGUCUCAUAAAAUGUGUUAGGGCAGAUUCCCUCUUUAUGUAUUGUCUGGAAUAGUUUCAAAAUGAAUGGUACUAGCUCCUCUUUGUACUUCCGGUAGAAUUUGGCUAUGAACCUGUCUGGUCCUGGACUAUUUUUGGUUGGAAGGCUAUUAAUUGCUGCUUCAAUUUUAGACCUUGUUAUUGGUCUAUUCGGGGAUUCAGUUCUUCCUGGUUUAGCCUUAGGAGGGUGUAAGUGUCCAGGAAUUUAUCCAUUUCUUCUAGAUUUACUAGUUUAUUUGCAUAGAGGUAUUUGUAGUAGUAAUCUCUAAUGGUAAUUUGUAUUUCUGUGGGAUCUGUGGUGAUAUACCAUUUAUCAGUUUUAUUGCAUGUAUUUGAUUCUUCUGUCUUUUCUAUUAGUCUGGCUAGCGAUCUCUCUAUUUUGUUAAUCUUUUCAAAAAAGCACCUCCUGGAUACUGAUUUUUUGAAGUUUUUUUGUGUCUCUAUAUCCUUCAGUUCUUGUCUGAUCUUAAUUAUUUCUUUUCUUCUGCUAGCUUUUGAAUUUGUUUGAUCUUGUUAAUCUACUUCUUUUAAUCAUGAUGUUAAGGUGUCAAUUUUAGACCUUUCUCACUUCUCUUGUGGCUAUUUAUUGCUUUAAAUUUCUGUCUAGACACUGCUUUAAAUCUGUCCCAGAGAUUCUGGUAUGUUGUGCAUUUGUUAUCACAGGUUUCAAAGAACAUAUUUAUUUCUGCUUCAUUUCAUUAUUUAUCCAGUAGUCAUUUAGGAGAAGGUUGUUCAGUUUCCAUGUAGUUGUGCAGUUUUGACUGAGUUUCUUAAUCCUGAGUUCUAACUUGGUUGGACCAUGGUAUGAGAGACUGUUUGUUAUAAUUUCCUUUUCUUUUCUUUCCUUUUUUUUUUUUUUUUUUUGCAUUUGCUGAGGAGUGUAUUAAUUCCAAAUAUGUGAUCAAAUUUAGAAUAAGUGCAAUGUGGUGCUGAAAAGAAUGUAUAUUCUGUGGAUUUGGGGUGGAGAGUUCUGUAGAUGUCUAUUAGGUUCACUUGGUCCAACUCAGAUCUGAGUUCAAGUCCUGGAUAUCCUUGUUAAUUUUCUGUCUAAUAUUGACAGUGGGGUAUUAAAAUUUCCCACUAUUACUUUGUAGGAGUCUAAGUCUCUUUCUAGGUCAUUAAGAACUUGCUUUAUGUAUCUGGGUGCUCCUGUACUGGGUACAUAUAUAUUUAUGAUAGCUCUUCUUGUUGCACUGAUCCCUUUAACAUUACGUAAAGCCCUUCUUUGUCUCUUUUGAUCCUUUUUGGUUUAAAGCCUGUCUUUAUCAGAGAUUAGGAUUGCAAGUACAGCAAUCAAAUGCAGAUAUGGUCUUUUCACAUAAUCCCAUAUUUCUUGGAGGCUUUAUUCAUUUCUUUUCACUGUUUUUUCUCCAAUCUUGCCUUCUUGUUUCAUUUAAUUGAGUUGAUCUUCAAUCUCUGAUAUUCUUCCACUUGAUCAGUUUGGCCAUUGAAACUUCUAUAUGCUUCACAAAGUUCUUGUGCUGUUUUUCAGCUCCAUCAAGUUGUUCUGUUCCUCAGUAUGCUGAUUAUUCUACUUAGCAUUUCAUCUAACCUUUUUUCAAGGUUCUUAAUUUCCUUGCAUUGUUAGAACAUUCUCCUUUAGCUUGGAGAAGUUUGUUAUUACCUACCUGCUGAAGCCUGCUUCUGUAAAUUCAUCAAACUCAUUCUCCAUCCAGUUUUGUUCCCAUGCUGGUGAGGAGUUGUGAUCCCUAGGAGGAGAAGAGGCUUUCUGGUUUUUGGAGUUUUUAGUCUUUUUGCACUGGUUUUUUCCCAUCUUUGUGGAUUUAUCUACCUUUGGUCUUUGAAGUUGGUGACUUUUUGAUGGGGUCUCUGAGUCGUCUUUUCUGUUGAUGUUGAAGCUAUUUCUUUCUGUUUUUUAGUUUUUCUUCUAACAGUCAGGCACCUCUUAUGCAGGUCUGCUGGUAUUUGCUGGAGGUCCACUCUAGACCCUACUUGCCUGGGAAUCACCUGUGGGGUCUGCAAAACAGAAAAUAUUGUGCCUGUUUCUUCCUCUGUAGUUUCAUCCCAGAAGGGUACCUGCCAGAUGUCAGCCAGAGCUCUUCUGCAUGAGGUGUCUCCCAGUGAGGAUACACGGGGGUCAGCGAGCCCCUUGAGGAGGCAGCCUGUCCCUUCUCAGAGCUCAAGUGCUGUUCUGGGAGAUCUGUUGUUCCAUUCAGAGCUGCCAGUCAGGGACACUUAAGUCUGCUGAAGUGGAACCCACAUUUGCCCCUUUUCCCAGGUGCUCUGUCCUUGGAAGGCAGGGCUUUAUUUAUAAGUUCCUGCUGCCUUUUUUCAGAGAUGCCUUGCCCAGCAAGAAGGGAGUCUAGUCACAGUCUAACUACAGCAGGCUUGCUGAGCUGCCCUGUGCUCUGCCCAGUUGCUGUGUAAACUUUGCAGCAACUUUGUUUACACAGGUGAGUUUAGAACUGCCUACCUGUGCCUCAGCAAUGGCAGAUGCCCCUCCUCACUGAGCUCAAACAUCCCAGGUUGAGCCCAGACUGGUGUGCAGGCUGUAAGAAUAUCAAGCCAGUAGAUCUUAUCUUGCUGGUCUUUGUGGGGGUGGGACCCGCCAAGCCAGAUCACUUGGCUCCCUGGCUAGAGCCCCUUUUUUAGGAAAAAGAGCAGUUCUGUAUUGCUGUUAUUCCAGGUGCCACUGGGAUAUGAGAAAAAGAGAAAAGACUGCUACAGCUAAAAUGGCCACCCAGUUUUGUGCUGGAAACCCAGGGCACUGGUGGUAUAGAUACUGGAGGAAAUCUCCUGGUCUGUGAGUUGGGAAGACCUUUGGAAAAGUGCGGUAUCUGAGCCAGAGUGCCAGAGUAUUGGGAAAUGUCCCUAAUGGCUUCCCUUGGCUAGUAGAGGGAGUUCUCCAAGCCCAUGCAUUUUCCAGGUAAGGCAAUGCCCAGCCAUUCUUUGGUUUGCCCUCCUUGGGCUGCACCCACAGUCUAACCAGUCCCAAUGAGAUGACCCUGAUACCUCAGUUGGAAAUGUGGAGAUCACUCGCUUUCUAAAUUGCUCUCACUGGGAACUGCACUCUGGAGUUGUUCCUAUUUGGCCAUUUUGGCAGAAAUCUCCUAGGAAGGUAUUAUUAUUGUCAUUCUCAUUUAAAUGUAAGGGAUAAGAAUACUGAGGCACAAGAGGUUGAAUAACUGUCUGAGAUGGUUUGGAUAUUUGUUCCCUCCAAAUCUCCAUUGAAAUGUGAUCCCAGUAUUGGAUGUAGGUGGACCGUAGUGGAAAGUGUUUGGGUCAUGGAGGCAAAUCCCUUGUGGAUGACUUGGAGCCUUCCAACAGUAAUGAGUUACCAUGAGAGCUGAUUGUUUAAAAAGAGUCUGAAACUCCUCAUCCCCACCCCACUCCACGCCUGUUGCUGUGUCUCUCACCAUGUGUCACUCUGGCUUCCUUUUCCCUCUGCCCUGACUAAAAGCUUCCUCAGGCUCACCAAAAGCUGAAGAGAUGCUGCCACAAUCCUUGUACAGCCUGUAGAACUGUGAGCCAAAUAAACUUCUUUUCCUUGUAAAUUACCCAGUCUCGGGAACGGUUUUAUGGCAACGUAAAACUGACGUACCUAUUAACCAAAAGUCACAUCACUUCUAAGUGGUAGAGUGAGGAGUUGAAGUUAUCACUACUCCUAAUGUGGAGAGAGUAUAUCCAGCCUAAGGACCCUGUUAGGAUUUAAUGAGGUGUUAAGUGCCAUCGUACUAGUGUGCCUAGCACAUAGCCAGGAUUCAUAAAGGUUACCCAUUGUCAGCUGUUUAUAUUACUAUAGAUAAAAUAAUAUCAGUCAGUGUUCUCCUUUCCUUACAUUUAGCAAAAACCAAACUGUAGUUUCCUCAAAACUUAUGAAAAGCGGGGGAAUACUUGCUCUUCAGCUGACCAGUCACUAAGAAUGGAAACAUUGCUAAUUUCCUUUACCUAUUGUCCAGGACCAAAAGUGUUUUUAUUGUUUUUCUUUGAGCUUUCCCUAUUCCUCUCCCUCAGGAUUACAAAGGGCAAAGCUGUAGCCCUCUGUGCUUGCAGUAACCAGCAACAAAACAUGCUCAAGCAGUAGUAGGAGUUACAAACCUAACUACCUCACAUGCAGUGAUCUCACAAAAACCUCAUGUACUUAUCACUUAGGGACUCCACAGUCCUUAGUAGUCUAUGAAUCCAAUGCAAAUGACAUGAAAUAUUAUAGGUCAUUUAACCAGUCCCAACAUCCAGCAGUGUCUUCAUGCAAAUGAGGAUAUUAAAUACAUUAAAAGAAGAAUUAAAACAUAUGAACAAAAAAGUCUUUAUUCUUGUCCAAAUAUAUCAACAGUUCCUGACCUUCAGCAAACCACUAAGUCUAAGUCUUAGUUUUCUUAUUUGUAAAAUGGAGGCCACAACACCUUUCCUGCUCUUUUUGGGGCCUAUAGAGAGUACUACCUACUCUCUCUGUUCUGGUUCCUUCCCUCAUACAACUAAAUAUGCUCAGCACUCUUCCUUAGAAUGAACAACAAAAUAAUUUCACAAACAAAAGACAACCUUCUCUCACUUUCUUUUCAAGAAUCACCUAUUUUCUCUCUAAUUCAAUGUCAAAUUUCUUGAAAGGCCGUAGCCUCUAUUCCUCAUCUAUUUUUUUACUCUCUCAUCUAUUCAGAAGCUUCUUCACACUCUCUUCAGUUCUUCUCUUCACAAAAUCUGUUUUUAUUUAGGUCACUAAUGUCUUCUAAUUUCAAUUCCAAUGGAAAUUUUCAGUAAAUACUGUCAAACAUUCCUUACUCAGAAUAUUCUUUACUUUUGGGACCCUUCCUUUAAAACUCAGAGUUCUGUCCUUUUUCUUUUUAAAUUUGAGACGAUCUCGCUCUGUCACUCAGGCUGGUAUGCAAUGGCAGGAUCUGGGCUCACUGCAACCUCCACCUCCCAGCUCAGGUAAUUCUCCUGCCUCAGCCUCCCAAGUUUCUUGGAUUACAGGCAUGAGUCACCACACUUGGCUAAUUUUUUGUAUUUUUACUAGAGAUGGAUUGUUGGCCAGGCUGAACUCCUGGCCUCAUGUAAUCCGCCUGCCUGGGCUUUCCGAAUUGAUGAGAUUAUGGGCAUGAGCCACUGUACCUGACCCUUUUCCUUGUACUACACACUCUGUAGAGAUGGCAUUAUUCACUCCUCUGACAUUAAUUUUUUGAAAGUUUCUGUAAAAUCUCGUGGUCCCCAGAGUAAAAUUUCUUGCACUAACUGGCAACAGCUGCUGAUGUCUAUUGCUAGGGAAACGGGUGGCCUGGUUUUCACUUUAUCUGGCUCUUAUAAAUGCCCUUACCUGGUGUGUUUCUUACCUGGUCUAGCUAGGUAGGGUACUAAUACUACCUUGCUAUGGGAGCAUUCAGUGCCUUCAGACACCCAGCUGGGCACCUUAUCUGCAGACUCAUGGCACUGCAGAUACUGUCAGAGGCCUAAUUGCUCUACUUCUUUCUCUUUCUCUGUGGGACUUUUUUACUUAACUGGAUAGAGCUCAGUGUGAGGUACAAGCCAGGUCAUAUCCCAAUUAUCUUCCACGACCUUCUCAAAGCUUAAAGGAAAACCAGAAGCCCUGUGGAAUACUGGCAAUCCUCCCUUUCUCAGCUGCUUAUGCUCCUGCUUUACAUACCACCUGGGUUGCACUGGCAUUCCCUCUCAGGGAACUUUUAAAAUGUCCUAAUAUGCAUCUAAGAAAGUGAGAAACAAACACCCUUGUUCUAAAACUCCUGAAAAAGUACCUGGUUGUUUCCAUUGCUAGAAUUAUGUUGCUGUUGACUGAGCAAAAAUGAAGGGGAGGACCAACAGGAGAGCUUUCUUCAUUACUUUCUGUCUUUGCCUGCCCAUCUCCCCUCUGGCAAUGGGAAUGGCUACUUCUACUUUCAGUUUUCUGAGUUUACAAUUUGCUCUUCCACCCCCUGGAGCCAACGUGUCAAAAAAAAAAAAUCAGUGUGGGGGACAGUAUUAAGAACUGUUUCAAAAAGAUUAUCCCCAGCACUUUGGGAGGCCAAGGCGGGUGGAUCACGAGGUCAAAAGAUCGAGACUAUCCUGGUCAACAUGGUGAAACCCCGUCUCUACUAAAUUAGCUGGGCAUGGUGGCAGGUGCCUGUAAUCCCAGCUACUCAGAAGGCUGAGGCAGGAGAAUUGCCUGAACCCAGGAGGCAGAGGUUGCGGUGAGCCGAGAUCGCGCAAUUGCACUCCAGUGUGGGUAACAAGAGCAAAACUCUGUCUCAAAAAAAAAAAAAGAUUAUUAUUCUCGUUACACUCUCAGUGACUUCUCAUUUUCCUCAGAACAAACUGCAUGAUCAGGGCCUCCUCCUCCUCCUCCCCUUACCUCAUCUCAGUAAUAUUUCACCCACAUGCUGAUUAUUAGCUAUGCUGGCUUUCCUUGAUUUUCUUAGAAGUACUCCGGGUUCUUCGUGUAGUUUUCUUUACCUCAUGUACUCUUCAAUCCCCCUCCACCAAUAAGAGAUCUGUGAGAGUACCUGUACUUGAUACUUUUUGACACUUCCUUUCUUGUUUUACAUCUUUAAAACAUUAUGUGUCAGAUUCUAUAAGGUAUAUCUUGGUAAAAUGUUAUCAUGUCUAUCUGGUUAACCAUGCUCUCUUUACUAAACAUCCUUCAGUGCUUGUUGAUGGAUAAAGAACGUUAAAUGAGAUGGUGAAAUUAAAUGUGCUUUUUACUCUGUUGAAGCAUUAGCUGGGUUAAUAUGGGCCAGUGUAAAAACCAGCAACAGUGGGCUCUGGCUGUGUCCAUUUGGUCCAGCAGACUGUAAAACAGAAUCUAAAAGGUGCAUUGCUAAUGCUCUCUGUAACAAUAAAUGUUAAUUUAUUAGAUAUUUUAAGUAUAAAUUCACUGAAUCUCUAAAGACAAUUUAAUUUUAAUAAUUUCCAUUGAAGAUGUUUGGGGUAUGAUAUUAUAUAAUUUCUAGUUACCUCUUUCUGUGAGAUUCUGAAAUUUAUGUUAAAGAUCACCAAAACUUUGGAAGUGGCAUUCUCUAAAAUUAAUAAUGAGUGACUGUGGCUAUGUUUAUUUGCCAAAAAUUGGUCAGUGAUAUAGUUAUAUCAAAAUAUAAUCUAUUUCAGCUGGCCAUAAAGUAUCUUAAUAAAUUCUCUGUCUCAUGCUGCGAUUUUAGCCGCUUGGGAUGAGCUUUUAUGUUUAAAUCCUUUUCCAUCUGAUUUGAGCUCAUUUUUUAAACAUAUUUUUAUUAGCUUCUACAAAUUUAUAUAGAGAUCCUAUGUUUUGUGAGUUUGCUUUGUAAAUUUGUAUUUUGAUUUAUGCAGUGUUACAACUGGUCAGAGGUGGUUAAAAUAGGGAAAGCAUCCACCCAUAAGUUACAGCUUGAUUGACAAUUAGAAAAAGCUGGAAGUAUCCUACUAAAUAGUUUCCUUAUAAAUAUCCAUUGGAAUUAUAGAGAAAGAAGGCAAAAAAAAAUUGAGAAGUUUGAUGUACCAAAUGGCUGUAUAAAUUGCCUAAAACAGAAUCUUUACCACCUAAAAUCAGGGAAUAAAAAAAUUUUAAGGAAGCAAUUAUCACCUGGAAUCUAUCAAUUGACUGUGCAUGGAAACUAAUGAAUUUAUAAACUAGGCAAAUUAACUAUUGCUUCUGCAAUGAGUAAAAAUGGUAUAUUCAUUUAUUCAUUUAUCUAUUUAUUUAAAAUUAUUAAGAACGUGAUAUGUGAUAGGCAGUGGAGUUUUAGUAACAAACCUAUGAAAAAUUAGUGAGACACAAAGAAACACAUGGAUAAACAAAAUACCUAAAGAUUGUGUUGGGUUUCAUAGGAGAAAUAUGCAGAUGUUUUGGUUGAUAAAACAUAUAUUCAGAGAUGAGACAUCUAUCCUAGAUAGAAUGGUCAAGAAACAACUCUCCCAGUGUGUGACAUUUCAUAGGAGACCUAAAAUAUAAGAACCAUGGGAAGUGGUCCAGGCAGUGGUGAGAGUGAAUUCAAGAAUGUAAGGCUAGAAAAACUUAGUGUCUUCAAAGAACACAAAGAACCCUGCAACAGAAGAAAAAGCUGGGAGGUAGCAUAAUGGGUAGAAAUCCUGACAGAAUCCAAAUCAUGUACUACCUUACAGACCAGAAUGAUGAGUUUACAUUUUAUACUAGCAUGACAAAAAGCAUUGAGAUGUUUUCAAUGGGAAAGUGAUGUUAUCUGAACGAUCUUUGAAAAAAAAUUUUUUCUGAAUAAAUUAGAAGGAGAACCUGGAAAAAUAUUUAGACUAUGUAGAAGACUGUUAGAAUAAAAUAAGCUGAAAAUGAUUAGAGCUUGGACUAGAGAGUUGCAAGGUAGGAAAGGCCUGAAUAGGUAUGUAUUUUGGAAAUAGUCCUGGAAAUCUUGUUCAUUGAGUAAAUAUGGUUUUCAGAGAAAGAGAGGAAUUAAAUAUGGUUCCCGGCUUGAGCAAAUGGUGCCAUUAUAAAAAUGAGAAAUAAUUUGAGGAGAGAGCUAUAAUUCAGAUAGUCUGAUUAAUUGGUUGCUUGUUGCUUUUUUUUCAGUAGAGGGCUUCUAUUAAAUCUUUGAAACAUCAUAAAUGAAGUUGAGAAAUCAUCAGCAUUUUGUUUUCAACGCUGGACAACUUUUGGGUUUUACUUACCAGCGGGCAAAACUGUUCCUUUUUCGGAGAUGUAGAUACCAUACAAAUUUUUUCUGACAUUUCUGACGUUGUGGCUUUGCUGAAUCAAAACAGCUGAAUAUGAUAUAAGUUCAAUGUCAUUUUCUUCAAGUAUUAACUCAUUUUUCUGGGUUUGAGAUAUUAAAAAAGCAACACCAAGACCACCUGAACCUUGUGCAUGAAUUUUCACUAAGAAAUUUUGAUUUUCAACAACAAAUCCAUUCUCCUGAAUAAUGACAUUGAUAGGAAAGUAAGCAUGCACAGAUCUCAUCUUGCAAUGGAAGCUCAUUGUAACUCCUUUACCAUGCUCUGUGGAUGGCCACAGAUUAUGUGCACAGUAGCCAGUUUCUUUAUAUUUCCCUGCCAUUUGUCAAGCUGCACCCUCUAUUUUUUUUCUUCCCCGAAGAGACUGAGUUCCACAUUCACAUAAUUAACUUCCCUCCACAGAGUUUCUCAGGGCUCCUUCUGAAUAACUAUGCCUCCCUUCAGAGUGAUGUCAACAUUUUCUGGAAUGCCAGCAGCCUGAUUACUGAGUAUGAUCUUUAUUCUUGCAGAUGCGGAAAAACCCUCAGAUGAUCUGUUUUGAACAUAUUAUGCUUGAAUUACACUAAGGGAGAUGUCAGGAGACAGAUAAUAUUCCUGACUGAAGCUCAGAAGGGAGAACUGGGCAGAAGAUUUAAAUUUAGUAGUCAUUAGUGUGUAAGAAAAUAUUAAUGGUCAUGAGACAAGGUAAGAUUAUCUAAAUGUCAGCUGUUAGAGAUCAAAGGUACGUCUCACAUGUGGGGAAAAAAACAAGAAGUUGGAGGAUACAACCUGAAACUUAAACUAUGUUUGCUUACAAAGAUUAUCAUAGAGGGGUGACUAUGCCACAUUUGGGUUUCAUUUCUUGAUUCAUUUAUGCCUGAAAUUCACUCUAAGGCAGAAUAGGGAAUUAGUGUAACUCGGGGUUAAGGCGGCAACAAAACAACAGCAGGUGCAGCCAGUUCUCAGCAAGACUGGGCGCAUACAGGCCACAUCCUCGCUCCUGUGAUAAGGAGACAGAAGUUUCCACUUCAGCCUCUGAUCAACUGUGGGCCAAGCAUCCACUUCAGCCUCUGAUUGGUCUUAGGGUGUAACCAAUUGGAGCCCUCGAAAGACACCUGUUGCCAAAUUCUUUUGAUUUUGUAAAAACUCUGGGAGCCUUGCAGUCAGGCGCUCUUGAGCUCUAUUCCACUCUGAAUAACCUUGAGUAAGUCUGUAGCUUUUUUACUCCAUUCUUUUGUUGCUGUGUCUCUUUCCUUGCUUCUUUCUUUUGCUACUUUAUGAGUUUUCUACGAUUCUUUGUUCAACAUGCUGAACUUGGACAACUCUAUUCAAUAACAAUUUCUUUAGUUAUAAAAUAGCAUUUUCAUGGCUCAAAUAAGCUUCUGUAAAUCUGUAUUUUUCUAUUUUCAAGAAUGAAAUAGUAUCUUAGUGAUUUUGGUGAUUUACAUGAAGAUUUCAUUGGAACACUUCAUAAACAACAGAGCUAAAGUUUAUAAGAAAGUGACUAUAGUGUUGAAUGAUAGUUUUCACAAAAACUCAGUUUAGGGUGAUUUGGAACAUUAGAAACAUGUAUAUGAACUAUACAGUGCAGUUGUAACAAUUGUUCAAUGAGAAAUAUAGGAUACUUGGCUGGGCGUGGUGGUUCACGCCUGUAAUCCUAGCACUUUAGGAGGCAGAAGCGGGUGGAUCACGAGGUCAAGAGAUUGAGACCAUCCUGGUCAACAUGGUGAAACCCCAUCUCUACUAAAAAAAAAAAAAAAUAAAAUACAAAAAAUUAGCUGGGCAUGGUGGCGCGUGCCUGUAAUCCCAGCUACUCAGGAGGCUGAGGCAGGAGAAUUGCCUGAACCCAGGAGGCGGAGGUUGCGGUGAGCCGAGAUCGCGCCAUUGCACUCCGGCCUGGGUCACAAGAGUAAAACUCCGCCUCAAAGUAAAUAAAGAAAGAAAGAAAGAAAGAAAAGAAAAGAAAAGAAAAAAGCAAUAUAGGAUACUUUCCUAUGUAAUAGUUCUUAUUCAAAAAAUGCUGGAGGUAUUAAACAGAAAACCUAAACUUCAAGUAUCUAUGAUGCAGAUGCUUACAAUUCAAAUUAAGUGGUCUGGAAAUCAGUUUUUAAAUCGGUCAAACCUGGGUUGUAACUUGGGCUGUCAAUUCUCAGUAAUGUGACUUUGGAAUGUUAAUGUCUUUGUCGCUUGUCAAAUUGCAUAAUGUUAGAGUAAGCAGGUAACCAGACACAAGCAAGGGAGGGAAGCUUCUGAGAAAGGGAUGGUCUGGAAAACCUCACAGCCCAGGGAACACCUGAAACCUGCAUACUAUUAGAUAUCAACAGAGAGGAGGGGAAAUUCCUCUGCAGAAAGGGAUGCCCAAUAAUCAUUCACUCUGCAUUUAACCUGUCAGAACGGAGCUAGGUACAUGCCUAAGGAGGGGCAAAAGGCAAAGAAGAAAGUUCUAAGGGUUAAUGCAAGUGCCAUUUGUGUCUGACACCAGCCCUCUGCAUGCACAUCACCUAAUAGUAAGUGAGGGUCCCACAAGCCUGGGUUGGGAAGUCGGUGGGGAAAGGAAGGGGUUUUAAGGUGGGAGUGGAAAAACUAGAGGAAAAUGGCAGAGACUUAAGACAGAAGUGAAAACUUAAAGAAUUCAACAUCAUAACACAGCGUGGAACUCUGAGGGGUUGCUGCUGGCCCAUUUCCUUCCAGUAUCUGGCUCUGACUCUUCAGAGUGUGCUGUCGCUUUAAACAAACUCUCUGCACUCUACUUUUCUUUAAAAAAUUUUCCGUUUUUGGCUAAAUCAAUCACUUGGCAGAAUUCUUUCUCCAAGUAAGACUAAGAACUGAGGAUUCCUGUGCUUCCUGGCAACAAUGUAGAAUAUAAUGAAUUGUAGUUUUAUUUUUCCACAUUAAGAUUUUCCUAUGUUACUAAGCAUAUUAGAAAAUUAUUUUAAUAAUUUCCCAAUAGUUCAUUUACUGAAAGUUCUAGAAUCAUUAUCUCUCACUAUCCUCUUGUUGGAUGUUUAGAAUUUUUCGUUUUAUAUUGUUUUAAUGUAUCUUUUGUUGUGACUUUUAGCCCAAAGUAUUAGGUAGAAAUUCCAUAUUCCUCUAGUCUAUUUACUUGCCUCCUCUCUUAAUGGAUAUUGUUUAUUCUCUACUCUCGUCUUAGACCUCCAAGACCCCUUUCCCCUCAGCUUUGUGACUUUGCUUAUGCUAAAAAGAAAGAAGACAAGUCGUUGAAAAAGACCGUCCCCAGCUGCUAGACUCCUAUUUACUCACCUGUUUCUGUAUUGCCUAUAUACUUAGCUUUUCCUUCUCUUAUUUUGAUUGAUUAGCCUGUGCUCUCAUUGAAGGGCAUCGCUUCUACUUAUGCACCUGCUCAAACAUAUAGCUCUCGAACAUUUUUCUGUUAGGUAUUAUCAUCCCUUUCCCUUUUGACGGAAUUGUCCCAAUAGCACACAAGCAUCUUGCUAUUUCUCUUAUCUGAAAAAGUUUAAAAAUUCUCAUUACCACAAUACUUUGCUACUUUCUAUUCUCUCCUUCAGAGAAAAACUUCCAGACAAUUUUCGUUGAGCCGUUUUCAGUUGUACUUAUUUUCUUUGAAUUUAUUCCAAUCAGCAUUUCACCCCAUAUACCACCGAGGUGUUGCUCAAGGUUAUCUAUGAUCUCUACAUUGUUCUAAACUGGCAAUAAAUUCUCCAUCCCAAUCUUAGCUGAAAGAGCAGCAGCACUUCACUGAUAACCUUAUUUUUGAGUUAACAAAGGUUUCAUGUGCUGUUGUGUAUCUCCUUAUUUAACUAGCUUGCUAUUUAUCAUUGUAUUUUGCUGCUUUUACCAUAUCUGCAUGACCUUCAAAAUCUGGAAAGGCUCAAGCCUCGGGUCUAACCCCUGAACCUCUCCUCCAAAAUCACUCCCCAUGUGAUCUCAUUCAUGAUUUGUAAUACCACCUACCUGCCAAAAAGUCCCAAAUUUCUAUCACUAGCCAAGAUUUUUCUGCUGAACUCUAGACUUAGAUGUGCAACUGUGUAUUACACCUAUUUGUUGUGAUUUGUUAGGUAUCUAUCUGAAGACUGAACUUAGGAUCUGAACCUCCAAACAUGCUCUUUCCACAAUCUUUCAACUAAGUAAAUGGCAGUUCUGUCUUUCCAGUUGCUCAGGUGGGAGUCAUUGUUGCCUUCUUGCUUUUAUACCUUUCCUCUGUCAGCAUAUUUGCUGGCUCUACUUUUAAUGUGCAGCCUCUAAAUCACUUAUCACUUCCAUUACUAAGUUGGUAUAGGCCACCAUUAUAUCUCAGAUUAUUGCAAUAGCCUUCGAAUUCAGAUUUGCAAACUGUUUUUAAAGGCCUAGAUUUAAGGUUGUUUUAGAUAUAAUAAGCCACAGGAUCUUUGUUGCAACUACAUAAUUUUGCCAUAAUGUGAAAACUGCCAUCAACACGAUGCAAUUGAAGGAGCCAUAUCCCAAUAAGGCUUCAUUUACCAGACAGGCAGGCGAGAUUAGAUCCUUUUACUGGAGUUUGCCAGUAUCCGCUCUAGUUAAUCUUCCUGACUCUUAGCAUUUUUUCCUGGUAGACAUUCUUAGAAGCCACCGUGGCUAUUUCAAAAUAAAAAUGAUAGCACAUGAUGCCUCUACUCAAAAUGUCCUAUGUUCCUUAAUCUACAGUAAAACCCCAAAUCUGUAAAAUAGCAUACCGAGCUUGUAAGGAGUAUGUUUCCCCUAUUUCUCUCCCUGGGUUCCUGAUACAUUGACUUUUCUGUUGUUCUUUGAAUUUGCCACAUGCAUAAUUUGCCACACUUUUUCUGUCUGUGUGGAGAACUUGGAGCAGCCCAUAAAACUGCAGAGCUGAUUCUCCACUUUCCUCAGGUUUUUGAUCACAUGUCAAAUUUUCAGUGAGCCCUUUCUUCCCUGAGAAAUUACAACUAAUCUCCACCUGAAGUUUUAAAUAUUCUUUGCCUGCUUUAUUUUUCUCCAUGGAAAGUUUUAUUAUC